UACGGAGGGUGCAAGCGUUAAUCGGAAUUACUGGGCGUAAAGGGUGCGUAGGUUGUUAUUUAAGUUAGUUGUGAAAAACCUGGGCUCAACCUGGGCAGGUCAACUAAGACUGGAUGACUAGAGUAUAGGAGAGGGUAGUGGAAUUUCCGGUGUAGCGGUGAAAUGCGUAGAGAUCGGAAGGAACACCAGUGGCGAAGGCGGCUACCUGGCCUAAUACUGACACUGAGGCACGAAAGCGUGGGGAUCAAACAGGAUUAGAUACCCUGGUAGUCCACGCUGUAAACGAUGUCAACUAGCCGUUGGUCUUAUUAAAGACAAGUGGCGCAGCAAACGCGAUAAGUUGACCGCCUGGGGAGUACGGUCGCAAGAUUAAA
rnacentral:rRNA from 1 species